rnacentral:lncRNA from 13 species
AAUACAAAUGCAAUAUUCAAAUAUUCAGAGGAUUGUCAGCUUCUUGGCUAUCUUAUCUGUUUCUAACUGCACAGUGCUUAAUGUUGAAGGUGACAUAAGAAAACAGUGAUUUUCGGGCCGGACAUGGUGGCUCAAGCCUGUAAUCCCAGCACUGUAGGAGGCCGAGGUGGGUGGAUCACAAGGUCAAGAGAUUGAGACCAUCCUGGCCAACAUAAUGAAGCCCCAUCUCUACUAAAAAUACAAAAAAUUAGCUGAGUGUGGUUGUGCAUGACUGUAGUCCCAGCUACUUGGGAGGCUGAGGCAGAAGAAUUGCUUGAAACUGGAAAAUGGAAGUUGCAGUGAGCCAGGAUCACACCACUGCACUCCAGCCUGGCUAUAGAGGGAGACUCUGUCUCAAAAAAAAAAAAAAAAAGAAGAAGGUGCUGUACCUUGAAUCUGCCUUAAAUGAGUCCUGGAGUUUUGAUUGCAUGUCACUGUCACUAAGCACUUUUGUUCCAGAGGAAACCAUUUAGAGAACUGGGAAACACCCCAUCUUUGUAGAAAAUUAACAGAGUCACACUUUCUAUGUUGAUUCUUCUUAAAAGGUAAGUAUUUGAAACAAAAGAAUCUAUAAACAGAGAACUGACACCAACUGUUCAUAAUUGUUCAGAAUAAUUAUGUUAUGAACAUAACAGUUCAGAACUAUUCAUAAUAUUGGUUGGACUGGAGAACACAGAGAGUUGUGCUCGACUGAACUAGACAUUAAUCUCUUUUUGUCUUAAGUCUUCUGCCUCAUACAUUGUAGAAAAAUGAAAAUUAAACCAAGGCUAAAAACUAGAUUCAUUAGGCUGAGGCGGGUGGAUCACAAGUCAGGAGUUUGAGACCAGCCUGGCCAAUAUGGUGAAACCCAAUCUCUACUAAAAAUACAAACGUUAGCCAGGUGUGGUGGUGCAUGCCUGUAGUCCCAGCUACUCAGGAUGCUGAGGCAGAGGAAUUGCUUGAAUCUGGGAGGCGGAGGUUGCAGUGAGAGAAGAUUGUGCCACUGCACUCUAGCCUGUGUGACAGAACAAGACUCCAUUAAAAAAAAGAAAAAAACCUAGAGGCAUCCAUGAUUUGGCAAAUAUGUAAGAUAAAGCAGACCAUAAAAGCAUCAUGGGCUUAGAUAUCUGGAAACUAAAGGUGGACCUCAUAUUUCCUCACUUGUUCGACUACCUACCUACAAAUAUCUUAGCCUUUUGAGACUUUCUAUAUAAAAAAGGUUAUAUUUUUCCCUUAUGUAACAAAAAAUAAUGAUCCAUUAGUAGACACACACCCAUGAACAAUGCUCAGAUGAGCUCAAGCAACUCCUGAGCAUUUCAUUAAGCCAUAUUUGUGUUCAGAUUGAUUUAUGAGCCUCCAGUCCAUCGUUUCCUCACCAUUAGCUGUCAUUAGACCAUUAUGAUUCCCUGCAGUCCUUCAGCUCCCUGCUUCCAGAGAGGAGACACAAUUGCACCCAGCUGUGCUGAGCUUGCUAUCACUACCACUAAUUUUCUGCCAGAACUAUGAGUAAUGUCACAUUUCAUGCUGUUCCAAUAAAAAUAUUUGCUCCUUGGCA